GAACGCUGGCGGCGUGCCUAAUACAUGCAAGUCGAACGGUCUUUCUAUGGAAGCUUGCUUCCACUGAGAAGAUAGUGGCGGACGGGUGAGUAACACGUGGGUAACCUGCCCAUAAGAGGGGGAUAACAUCCGGAAACGGGUGCUAAUACCGCAUAGUUUUCUUGAUCGCAUGAUUGAGAAAGGAAAGACGGCCUUUGUGCUGUCGCUUAUGGAUGGACCCGCGGCGUAUUAGUUAGUUGGUGAGGUAAUGGCUCACCAAGACGAUGAUACGUAGCCGACCUGAGAGGGUGAUCGGCCACAUUGGGACUGAGACACGGCCCAAACUCCUACGGGAGGCAGCAGUAGGGAAUCUUCCGCAAUGGACGAAAGUCUGACGGAGCAACGCCGCGUGAGUGAAGAAAGGUUUUCGGAUCGUAAAACUCUGUUGUCAGAGAAGAACAAGUUGGAGAGUAACUGCUCCAGCCUUGACGGUAUCUGACCAGAAAGCCACGGCUAACUACGUGCCAGCCGCCGC
rnacentral:rRNA from 1 species